UGUACGGGCAGUGAUUCACAUGAACUCCUCACACCAGUGACCCAAGGCAAUCCUUCCUACAGCCCAGGAGUUUUGUAAGAUUGAAAGGCUUCAGAGAAUCAAGAAGUAUUUCUUCAACAGGGCUUGGAAGUUGUACUCGGAUGGGAGACUGCCUGGGAAUACUGAGUGCUGGAGGCUUCCCUGCCUCCUUCUGAACUCAUCCAUGGACACGGGUGCUUUGGAGUGUCCUGCUCUGCAUAGACUCAUCCACAGGUCACAGACCCUUGGAGUUCACCCUGGAGUUCCAGUUUGUCCAGUACACAGGAACACUGCUGUUAUCACAAUGUUCCCAGGCCCAGCAGAGUCAGAUAAGUGGCACAGCAAGCAGUGAAAGCAAAAAGCCAGCCACUAACAAGCACUAAUGUACAGGAGGCAGCAAGGCCCAUGGCAAGCACAGAGCCUGUCAACAGCUCAACAGCAGCUAGAAAUGUGAUCUAGCACAUUCCAAUCAAAUCUGGUGCUGCCUUGGACCCUUCAAGCCUUGCAUUGGGUGACUGUGCAAGCUCUGCUCAGCAAUAACAAAAACAUCCCUAAAUUAUCAACACUGUUUUCAGCACAAAUCCAGAACACAGCCCCAGAGUGGCUGCUAUGAGGAAAAUUAACCCUACCCCAUCCAAAACCAGCACAACUGGGAAGGAAAAUAAUAAGAUUACUCUAAUUAUUAUGAAAAUGAUGAGAUAAGAUGCCAGUUUUUUGAAGGCCCAGUGGGAUUUCAAGCUCCAUGGCACCAGACUAACAUGAGAAUUUAUACAAUCUACAGGUAUUUCAAACACAAAGCCAUGUUACUCUGUUUCUCUAUGUUGCUUUUGUUCUCUCUGCAGUCUCAAAGUGCUCACUGAAUUCAGCAGUUUGGCAGAUUGCAAUUUUAAAGAUAAGAAAUUUGUUACAUCAAAUUUCCAGCUACAGUACUGCUGAAAGCACAAACGUAAUUUUCUUUUACAUAAUUAAACUUUGAGAUUGCCUUGAGAUAAAAUAUUGUUACAAUUAAAAGCAAUGUCUAU